GACGAACGCUGGCGGCGUGCCUAAUACAUGCAAGUAGAACGCACAGUUUAUACCGUAGCUUGCUACACCAUAAACUGUGAGUUGCGAACGGGUGAGUAACGCGUAGGUAACCUGCCUGGUAGCGGGGGAUAACUAUUGGAAACGAUAGCUAAUACCGCAUAAUAUUGAUUAUUGCAUGAUAAUUGAUUGAAAGAUUCUAUUGCAUCACUACCAGAUGGACCUGCGGUGUAUUAGCUAGUAGGUGAGGUAACGGCUCACCUAGGCGAAGAUACAUAGCCGACCUGAGAGGGUGGUCGGCCACACUGGGAAUGAGACAAGGCCCAGACUCCUACGGGAGGCAGCAGGAGGGAAUCUUCGGCAAUGGACGAAAGUCUGACCGAGCAACGCCGCGGGAGUGAAGAAGGGUUUCGGAUCGGAAAGCUCUGUUGUAAGAGAAGAACGGGUGGGAGAGUGGAAAGUGCACACUGUGACGGUAUCUUACCAGAAAGGGACGGCUAACUACGUG
rnacentral:rRNA from 1 species